GAAAGAACGAAAACUAUGAAUGCUUCUUGCAGUAGCUGCGCAUUCGUCCUUCAACCGCUCAAAACUCCGAAAUAUCCUAAAUUUCUCUUUUCCAAAAAUCCCCGAAAUCGGACCCUUAUUUGUAAAGCAGAAUCAAAACCCAAUAACCCCGGUGGCUCCAGCAAGAGAAAUACAAUGGAAGGUAGCAGACCCACCCGCAAAAACCCCAGAAGAUCUUCUUAUGGAGCAUCAAGGGGGUCAAUUCUGAAGAAAUCAUUCAGUCAGGAGCAGGUGGUAUUCACAACUCCAAUCCCUGAAGACCCAAUUGUUGCCAUUAUCGGUGGAGGUCUUGCUGGGCUUACUUGCGCUCUCAAUCUGGAGAAACGGGGAGUUAGGUCCACUGUGUUCGAUACGGGGAUUCAUGGUUUGGGAGGAAGAAUGGGAACAAGAGUUAUUGAUCAACAGCCUCUGAUUUUUGAUCAUGCGGCUCAAUUUUUUACAGUGGGUGAUUCUCGGUUUGCUGAGUUGGUAGAUGGGUGGUUGGAGAAGGGUCUGGUACAGCAGUGGCAGGGUCUAAUCGGAGAGCUUGAGGUGGGUGGUCAAUUUGUUACACUGCCUUCUUCAUGUCCAAGAUAUAUUGGUGUUAAUGGGAUGCGCCCCCUUGCAGAUUCAAUUCUUUCUCAGACUUCUAUGGUUAAUGUGAUGAGGCCAUGCUGGAUAAGUAAACUUGAUCCGUAUAACGGGAUGUGGCACUUGAGCGAGAAUGGAAAACCUUGUGGGCAGUUUCAUGCAAUUGUUAUUGCACACAAUGGAAAAUGUGCAAACCGCUUGCUUGCGUCAUCAGGUUUACCAUUAAUUGCAAGACAAAUGAAGAGGCUGGAACUUAGUUCUAUCUGGGCCCUUCUUGCAGCAUUUGAGGAUCCUCUUCCUACCCGAGGUAUCCCUUCUUUUGAAGGAGCUUUUGUAAAAGGGGUUGGUGCUGUUUCAUGGAUGGCAAACAACACAAAGAAACUGUUCCCUUCCCAGAGCAUUGGACCUUACUGCUGGACCUUUUUCAGCACGGCUGCUUAUGGAAAACAAAAUAAAGUUCCACAGGAAAACAUACCAAAUGUGACUGCAGAGAAGGUGAAGGCCAGUAUGCUUGAGGGCGUAGAGAGUGCAUUGGGAUUAUCAAAGGGUUCACUUCAGAGACCCUUCUAUACUAGAGUUCAGUUAUGGGGGGCAGCUCUUCCGACAAAUACUCCUGGUAUCUCCUGCAUCUUUGAUCCUCAAGGACGGGCUGGAAUAUGUGGAGAUUGGCUUCUGGGUUCAAGUAUGGAAUCUGCUGCUUUGAGUGGCAUGGCUCUUGCCAAUCAUAUUGCUGAUUAUUUUCAAAGUGGUGGAUCUCAUUCAGAUGAGUUUGCUAUUGGUUUACACAAUAAAUUUCAGCCUAUUGAAGGACAUGAUAUCGGGCAGUUUCCAGGUGUGCAGUCUAACAAAGAAGUUACUGAGUCUCGGCUUGUAGAACAUAAAGCAUACUGUUGAAUCAUUGGAUUAAAGCUUCACAACUUCUGAAAGUUGGUAGAGGCAGACAUUGUAAAAUACAUCUAAGAAAAUGCGAUUGCAAUUAUGGUCUCUCAGUAACCGUAUUGCCAUUUCAUAAAAAAAGGAUUAACAGCUUUCCGGUGGCCUGCGUAAUGUAACCUGACAUGUUCCUCGGCAUUCUAUUAUUCAUAUCCAUUUCUAUUUGUGAUGGGUCAUCACAUUUGGUUGAAAUCCUUGCAGUCUUAGUAGGAGUGCAAAGCCAUUGGUGUGAGUAUGGUUUGAACUUCCUAUUCUGUUUUCCAUUGAAAGAAUGUUGUAACGAUCAUAGACCAAAAAAAGAAAAGCUGUGACAAUUUGAUGUCAUUGACUAUCUGUUAAUGCCUAAUUUUUCUUUUAAAAAGUGCCUAGCUACCCAUCUGGUUACACCUAAUCUGAAGUGAUACUUACUUUAAUUUU